UAGCGUAGGGGGCUAGCGUUGUCCGGAAUCAUUGGGCGUAAAGCGCGCGUAGGCGGCCAGAUAAGUCCGGUGUGAAAGUCAAAGGCUCAACCUUUGAAUGCCGCUGGAAACUGUCUGGCUAGAGUCCGGAAGGGGCGAGUGGAACUCCUGGUGUAGCGGUGAAAUGCGCAGAUAUCAGGAAGAACACCUAUGGCGAAGGCAGCUCUCUGGGACGGUACUGACGCUGAGACGCGAAAGCGUGGGGAGCAAACAGG
rnacentral:rRNA from 1 species